rnacentral:rRNA from 1 species
ACUCCUACGGGAGGCAGCAGUGGGGAAUAUUGCACAAUGGGCGCAAGCCUGAUGCAGCCAUGCCGCGUGUAUGAAGAAGGCCUUCGGGUUGUAAAGUACUUUCAGCGGGGAGGAAGGCAAUACGGUUAAUAACCGUGUUGAUUGACGUUACCCGCAGAAGAAGCACCGGCUAACUCCGUGCCAGCAGCCGCGGUAAUACGGAGGGUGCAAGCGUUAAUCGGAAUUACUGGGCGUAAAGCGCACGCAGGCGGUCUGUCAAGUCGGAUGUGAAAUCCCCGGGCUCAACCUGGGAACUGCAUUCGAAACUGGCAGGCUUGAGUCUUGUAGAGGGGGGUAGAAUUCCAGGUGUAGCGGUGAAAUGCGUAGAGAUCUGGAGGAAUACCGGUGGCGAAGGCGGCCCCCUGGACAAAGACUGACGCUCAGGUGCGAAAGCGUGGGGAGCAAACAGGAUUAGAUACCCGGGUAGUCCCA